CCAUGGUCAUCUUCUCGGCCAUCUUGCUGGCUGUAGACGCCACCACCGCACAUCCAUGGUUGUAGCGCCCACCAACAUCACCUCCGGGCAGCCCAGCACGUCGACGGAGCUGUGGACGCUCGAAGCCAUGGCCAUGUCCAUCUUCCUCCUCUGAAUCAGGGACAUAAAGCCCCUACCUCCAUGCCGAUGCCUUCAUCUUCCGAGUCAAGGACAUACAACUGGUCGAGGUGAUCGACGCGAAGGCGACUGCGGCCAAUGUUGAGGAUGCGUUCCGGGCUCCGAUCACCGCCACCGGCCCCAGCUUCACGGGUUCCUUCGGUCUUCUACCACUGUCGCACAUUUUGGGGAUAGGCACGGAGCUCGCGCCGCCAUCCCCAAUCCCGUCGCACAUCUUGGGGACAGGCACGAAGCUCGCGCCACCUUCCCCAAUCCUGUCGCACAUCUUGGGGACAUCGCCUUCCCCAAUCUUGAUGACGGAUCUUGGGAUUUC
rnacentral:lncRNA from 1 species